rnacentral:rRNA from 1 species
AGUCUGAAUAGGGCGUUUGAGUGGCAUGACCUAGACCCGAAGCGGAGUGAUCUAUCCAUGGCCAGGUUGAAGCGACGGUAAGACGUCGUGGAGGACCGAACCCACUUCAGUUGAAAAUGGAGGGGAUGAGCUGUGGAUAGGGGUGAAAGGCCAAUCAAACACCGUGAUAGCUGGUUCUCUCCGAAAUGCAUUUAGGUGCAGCGUUGCGUGGUUCUUGUCGGAGGUAGAGCACUGGAUGGUCUAGGGGGCCUAUCAGCUUACCGAAAUCAGCCAAACUCCGAAUGCCGGCAAGUGGAGCGUAGCAGUGAGACGGCGGGGGAUAAGCUUCGUCGUCGAGAGGGAAACAGCCCAGAUCAUCAGCUAAGGCCCCUAAGUGGUAACUCAGUGGAAAAGGAUGUGGAGUUGCGCAGACAGCCAGGAGGUUGGCUUAGAAGCAGCCAUCCUUGAAAGAGUGCGUAAUAGCUCACUGGUCAAGUGAUUCCGCGCCGACAAUGUAGCGGGGCUUAAGUUAUCCGCCGAAGCUGUGGCAAGCCCGUGAGGGUUUGGGUAGGGGAGCGUCCUGUGCGAGGUGAAGCUGCCGGGUGACCGUGUGGUGGAUUGUGCGGGAGUGAGAAUGCAGGCAUGAGUAGCGAAUGACGGGUGGAAAACCCGUCCGCCGAUUAUCCAAGGGUUCCAGGGUCAAGUUAAUCUGCCCUGGGUGAGUCGGGACCUAAGGCGAGGCCGACAGGCGUAGUCGAUGGAUAACCAGUUGAUAUUCUGGUACCGGCUUGUCACCGUCCGUGUCGAGGUGUGUGAUGCUAAGCGUGCGAGCCUGCCUCCGCGACAUCGUUGAUGUGGUGGUGGUGUGGUGAGUGUGUGAACCGAUCAUGUAGUAGGCAAGCUGCGGAGGGACGCAGGGAGGUAGCUCAUCCCCGGCGAUGGUUGUCCGGGGCUAAAUGUGUGGACCGUCUGGUAGGUAAAUCCGCCAGGGUUGUGGUUGAGGCAUGAUGGCGAGCCCACAGGAAGUGGGUGAGUGAGUGAUCCUGUACUGUCGAGAAAAUCUUCGUGAGCGAGGUGGCUGGUCCGCCCGUACCCUAAACCGACACUGGUGGAUAGGUAGAGUAUACCGAGGCGAUCGAGAUCAUCAUGGUGAAGGAACUCGGCAAAAUGCCCCCGUAACUUCGGGAUAAGGGGGACCUGAACUGUCAAGGCUUUUACAGUUGGUAGCGGUGAGGGGCGCAGAGACCAGGGGGAAACGACUGUUUACCAAAAACACAGGUCCGUGCGAAGUCGUAAGACGAUGUAUACGGACUGACUCCUGCCCGGUGCUGGAAGGUUAAGGGGAACUGUUAGCGUUGGCGAAGCGGUGAACUUAAGCCCCAGUAAACGGCGGUGGUAACUAUAACCAUCCUAAGGUAGCGAAAUUCCUUGUCGGGUAAGUUCCGACCUGCACGAAUGGAGUAACGAUUUCCCUACUGUCUCCACCAUGAACUCGGUGAAAUUGCAUUACGAGUAAAGAUGCUCGUUACGCGCAGCAGGACGGAAAGACCCCGGGACCUUUACUAUAGUUUGGUAUUGGUGAUUGGGACGACUUGUGUAGGAUAGGUGGGAGACUGUGAAACGGCCACGCCAGUGGUUGUGGAGUCAUUGUUGAAAUACCACUCUGGUCGUUCUGGUUAUCUAACUUUGGGCCGUGAUCCGGUUCAGGGACAGUGCCUGAUGGGUAGUUUGACUGGGGCGGUCGCCUCCUAAAAGGUAACGGAGGCGCCCAAAGGUUCCCUCAUCCUGGUUGGUAAUCAGGUGUCGAGUGUAAGUGCACAAGGGGGCUUGACUGUGAGACUGACAGGUCGAGCAGGGACGAAAGUCGGGACUAGUGAUCUGACGGUGGCUUGUGGACGCGCCGUCACUCAACGGAUAAAAGGUACCCCGGGGAUAACAGGCUGAUCUUGCCCGAGCGCUCAUAGCGACGGCAUGGUUUGGCACCUCGAUGUCGGCUCGUCGCAUCCUGGGGCUGUAGUCGGUCCCAAGGGUUGGGCUGUUCGCCCAUUAAAGCGGCACGCGAGCUGGGUUCAGAACGUCGUGAGACAGUUCGGUCCCUAU